ACAGCAGUAGCCGCGGUAAUCCAGAGGAUGCAAGCGUUAUCCGGAAUGAUUGGGCGUAAAGCGUCUGUAGGUGGCUUUUCAAGUCCGCCGUCAAAUCCCAGGGCUCAACCCUGGACAGGCGGUGGAAACUACCAAGAUGGAGUACGGUAGGGGCAGAGGGAAUUUCCGGUGGAGCGGUGAAAUGCGUUGAGAUCGGAAGGAACACCAACGGCGAAAGCACUCUGCUGAGCCGACACUGACAUUGAGAGACGAAAUCUAGGGGAGCAAAUGGGAUUAGAUACCCCGGUAGUCCCUGUCUCUUAUAA
rnacentral:rRNA from 1 species